UACGUAGGGGGCAAGCGUUAUCCGGAUUUACUGGGUGUAAAGGGAGCGUAGACGGCAGAGCAAGUCUGAAGUGAAAGCCCGCGGCCCAACUGCGGGACUGCUUUGGAAACUGCCCGGCUAGAGUGCUGGAGAGGUAAGCGGAAUUCCUAGUGUAGCGGUGAAAUGCGUAGAUAUUAGGAGGAACACCAGUGGCGAAGGCGGCUUACUGGACAGUAACUGACGCUGAGGUUCGAAAGCGUGGGUAGCAAACAGG
rnacentral:rRNA from 1 species